rnacentral:rRNA from 1 species
GUUCCCCGGUUCGGGGGACGAGGGUGACAGGGUGGUGCAUGGUUGUCGUCAGCUCGUGUCGUGAGAUGUUGGGUUAAGUCCCGCAACGAGCGCAACCCUCGCCUCUAGUUGCCAGCAUUCGGUUGGGCACUCUAGAGGGACUGCCGGCGACAAGUCGGAGGAAGUGGGAUGACGUCAAAUCAUCAUGCCCCUUAUGACCUGGGCUACACACGUGCUACAAUGGGCGGUACAAAGGGCUGCGAACCCGCGAGGGGGAGCGAAUCCCAAAAAGCCGCUCUCAGUUCGGAUUGCAGGCUGCAACUCGCCUGCAUGAAGCCGGAAUCGCUAGUAAUCGCGGAUCAGCAUGCCGCGGUGAAUACGUUCCCGGGCCUU